rnacentral:rRNA from 1 species
GACGAACGCUGGCGGCGUGCUUAACACAUGCAAGUCGAACGGAAAGGCCCUGCUUUUGCGGGGUGCUCGAGUGGCGAACGGGUGAGUAACACGUGAGUAACCUGCCCUUGACUUUGGGAUAACUUCAGGAAACUGGGGCUAAUACCGGGUAGGAGCUCCUGCUGCAUGGGGGGGGUUGGAAAGUUUCGGCGGUUGGGGAUGGACUCGCGGCUUAUCAGCUUGUUGGUGGGGUAGGGGCUUACCAAGGCUUUGACGGGUAGCCGGCCUGGGAGGGGGACCGGCCACAUUGGGACUGAGAUACGGCCCAGACUCCUACGGGAGGCAGCAGUGGGGAAUAUUGCACAAUGGGCGGAAGCCUGAUGCAGCAACGCCGCGUGCGGGAUGACGGCCUUCGGGUGGUAAACCGCUUUCGCCUGUGACGAAGCGUGAGUGACGGUAAUGGGUAAAGAAGCACCGGCUAACUACGUG